CGGCUACUAAGGGAGCAGCCCCGAACCAGAAGCCAAGGCAGCACAGGUCCACAGUACACCUGCCAUGUCUGUCGGAAGUGCAGACCCAAAGACAUCCAAGCAGCACUUUGAGAGCAAGUAUCCCAAGUCUCCAAUGGUCCCAGUACUGGUUGAUGUGCAGUCCUAAGUGACCACACACACUCAAAAAUGGACCUACAGCUGGGACAGACGAAGACCACGAUUUUAAAUGCUGCAACAGAUGGAAUAACGCAGAGGGACAGGGGACAGAUAUUUAUGACAACCUAAAAGGGGUGCAGAAGCACAACAGCACCCCAUUUUGUGUAUUCCAUAGCCAACCAUCUCUUUAACUACACCUUAUUCCACACUAUGCCUUCUAUGCCCCAUGUUCCCUCAACUUCAGCCACUUUGGAACUCUCCAUCUUAUCUCUAUAAACCCACCCUACCUUCACCCAUUUUCCCUAU